GGGCCCGUAGCUCAGCGGCAGAGCAAGCGGCUCAUAACCGCCAGGUCGCAGGUUCGAUCCCUGCCGGGCCCA
rnacentral:tRNA from 1 species